rnacentral:tRNA from 1 species
GCCGAAAUAGCUCAGUUCGGAGAGCGUUAGACUGAAGAUCUAAAGUGCCCUGGUUCGAUCCAGGGUUUCGGCA